rnacentral:rRNA from 1 species
UACGUAGGGGGCGAGCGUUGUCCGGAUUUAUUGGGCGUAAAGAGCGUGUAGGCGGCCAGGUAGGUCUGCUGUGAAAACUCGAGGCUCAACCUCGAGACGUCGGCGGAAACCAUCUGGCUAGAGUCCGGAAGAGGAGAGUGGAAUUCCUGGUGUAGCGGUGAAAUGCGCAGAUAUCAGGAAGAACACCCGUGGCGAAGGCAGGUCUCUGGGCCGCAACUGACGCUGAGGAGCGAAAGCAUGGGGAGCGAACAGG